rnacentral:rRNA from 1 species
GAUGAACGCUGGCGGCGUGCCUAAUACAUGCAAGUCGAGCGAACGGACGAGAAGCUUGCUUCUCUGAUGUUAGCGGCGGACGGGUGAGUAACACGUGGAUAACCUACCUAUAAGACUGGGAUAACUUCGGGAAACCGGAGCUAAUACCGGAUAAUAUUUUGAACCGCAUGGUUCAAAAGUGAAAGACGGUCUUGCUGUCACUUAUGGAUGGAUCCGCGCUGCAUUAGCUAGUUGGUAAGGUAACGGCUUACCAAGGCAACGAUGCAUAGCCGACCUGAGAGGGUGAUCGGCCACACUGGAACUGAGACACGGUCCAGACUCCUACGGGAGGCAGCAGUAGGGAAUCUUCCGCAAUGGGCGAAAGCCUGACGGAGCAACGCCGCGUGAGUGAUGAAGGUCUUCGGAUCGUAAAACUCUGUUACUAGGGAAGAACAUAUGUGUAAGUAACUGUGCACAUCUUGACGGUACCUAAUCAGAAAGCCACGGCUAACUACGU